rnacentral:tRNA from 1 species
CAGGAAGUAGUUUAAGCAGAAUAUCAGCUUUGGGUGUUGAUGGUGGAGGAGAAGUCCUUCCUUCUUGA